GAUGAACGCUUAGCGGCAGGCCUAACACAUGCAAGUCGAGGGGUAGAAGGAGCUUGCUCCUUUGAGACCGGCGCACGGGUGCGUAACGCGUAUGCAACCUGCCUUCCACAGGGGAAUAGCCCAGAGAAAUUUGGAUUAAUGCCCCAUGGCACAGCGAGACGGCAUCGUCUUGCUGUUAAAGUAACAACGGUGGAAGAUGGGCAUGCGUCCCAUUAGCUAGUUGGUAAGGUAACGGCUUACCAAGGCUAUGAUGGGUAGGGGUCCUGAGAGGGAGAUCCCCCACACUGGUACUGAGACACGGACCAGACUCCUACGGGAGGCAGCAGUGAGGAAUAUUGGUCAAUGGUCGCAAGACUGAACCAGCCAUGCCGCGUGCAGGAUGACGGUCCUAUGGAUUGUAAACUGCUUUUGUACGGGAAGAAACACUCCUACGUGUAGGGGCUUGACGGUACCGUAAGAAUAAGGAUCGGCUAACUCCGUGCCAGCAGCCGCGGUAAUACGGAGGAUCCGAGCGUUAUCCGGAAUCAUUGGGUUUAAAGGGUCCGUAGGCGGCCCUGUAAGUCAGCGGUGAAAUCUCCCGGCUCAACCGGGAAACUGCCGUUGAUACUGCAGGGCUUGAAUUGCCGGGAAGUAACUAGAAUAUGUAGUGUAGCGGUGAAAUGCUUAGAUAUUACAUGGAAUACCGAUUGCGAAGGCAGGUUACUACCGGCGUAUUGACGCUGAUGGACGAAAGCGUGGGGAGCGAACAGG
rnacentral:rRNA from 1 species